rnacentral:rRNA from 1 species
GAUGAACGCUGGCGGCGUGCUUAACACAUGCAAGUCGAACGAUGAAGCCCAGCUUGCUGGGUGGAUUAGUGGCGGACGGGUGAGUAACACGUGAGUAACCUGCCCUUAACUCUGGGAUAAGCCUGGGAAACUGGGUCUAAUACCGGAUAGGAGCGUCCACCGCAUGGUGGGUGUUGGAAAGAUUUAUCGGUUUUGGAUGGACUCGCGGCCUAUCAGCUUGUUGGUGAGGUAAUGGCUCACCAAGGCGACGACGGGUAGCCGGCCUGAGAGGGUGACCGGCCACACUGGGACUGAGACACGGCCCAGACUCCUACGGGAGGCAGCAGUGGGGAAUAUUGCACAAUGGGCGCAAGCCUGAUGCAGCGACGCCGCGUGAGGGAUGACGGCCUUCGGGUUGUAAACCUCUUUCAGUAGGGAAGAAGCGAAAGUGACGGUACCUGCAGAAGAAGCACCGGCUAACUACGUG